rnacentral:rRNA from 1 species
GACGUAGGUGGCGAACGUUAUCCGGUAUUAUUGGGCGUAAAGGGCGCGUAGGCGGCUUUUUAAGUCAGACGUGAAAUCCCCCGGCUUAACCUGGGAACUGCGUCUGAUACUGGGAAGCUUGAGUUCGGGAGAGGGAUGUAGAAUUCCAGGUGUAGCGGUGAAAUGCGUAGAUAUCGGGAGGAACACCAGUGGCGAAGGCGGCUCUCUGGGCAGAUACUGACGCUGAGACGCGAAAGCGUGGGUAGCAAACAGG